UACGUAGGGAGCAAGCGUUGUCCGGAAUCAUUGGGCGUAAAGCGCGUGUAGGCGGUUACAUAAGUCUGUUGUGAAAGUCGGAGGCUCAACCUUCGAAAGCCGAUGGAUACUGUGUGACUUGAGUACGGAAGAGGAGAGUGGAAUUCCUGGUGUAGCGGUGAAAUGCGCAGAUAUCAGGAGGAACACCAGUGGCGAAGGCGGCCAUCUGGAUCAACACUGACGCUGAGGCACGAAAGCGUGGGGAGCAAACAGG
rnacentral:rRNA from 1 species